GAGACUGCCCUUGAACAACUUUGGAAGGCACUAUACCAAGUUCUUCUUACCACCCAUACAGCAAUAAAACUUCACGGCUUGGAUCCACUCCUUUCAGCCCAGGAGGGCCCCUCCAGACUCUUGGGACUGUAUACUCACCAGAGGUCUCAAGAUUUGCCUCAGGUGUUUUUUAUUUUUUAUUUCUUUAUAGCAAAAGGCAGAAAAAUUCGAAGACAGAAAUAGGAAGAACAAGGGCAACAAGAAGAAAAGAGUAACUAAUAUAAUGGAUAUUAAUCCAACUACAUCAAUAAUUUUAAACAACAGUGGACUAAAUGCACCAAUUAAAAGACAGAAAUUGUCAAAGUGGAACAAAAUCCACAAAUCAGUAACUGUAGGUUGUUUAUAAGAAACCCACUUUAAAUGUAAAUGCACAUAGAGAUUAAAAGUAAAGGAAUGGAGAAAUGUAUACCAUGGCAAAGCUAAUAAAAAGAGAACAAGAGGAGCAAUAUUAGUUAUUAGAGAUAAAGAGGAGCCUUACAUACUCAUAAAGAAGUCAAUUCUACAUAAGACAUAAAAAUCCUCAAUGUAAAUUCACCUAACAACAGAGCAUCAAAAUAUAUGAAGCAAAAACUGAUAGAACUGCAGGAAUAAAUAAAUUAACCCACUAUUAUAGUUGGAGACUUCAAUGCCUCUCUCUCAGAAAUGGACAGAUCCAAGAAAUGAUGAAGGGCAUAGUUGAACUCAUCAUCAUCAUCAUCAUCAAUUAACUGUAUAUAAUGGGCAUCUAUUGUCUACUCAAUCCAAUAACAGCAGAAUACGUGUUAGUCUCAAGCCCACAUGGAACAUUCACCAAGAUAGACCACAUUCCAGGCCAUAAAAUACAUUUAACAAAUUUAAUAGAAUAGAAAUUAUACAGUCUCUGCUCUCAGACAACAAUGAAAUUAAACUAGAAAUCAAUAAUAAAAAGAUAUCUUAAAAUGCCAAAAUAUUGGCGAAUAAACAACACUCUUAUAAAUAACAUAUAGAUCAAGGAAUAAAUCUCCAGAGAAAUUUAAACAUCUUUUGAGCAAAUUAAACAUGAAAACACAACUUAUCAAAAUUUUUGGGAUGUGGGGAAAGUAGUACCUAGAAGGAAAUUUAUAGCAUGGAAUACAUAUAUUAGAAAAGAAGAAAGAUCUAAAAUCAAUCUUCUAAACUUCCACCUUAGGAAAAUAUACAGGGAAGAACAAAUUAAAUCCAAAGUAAUCAGAAGAAAGGAAAUAAGGAGAAUAAGAAAUCAAUGAAAUAGAAAAUAGACAAUUAAUAGAGAAAAUCAAUAAAACCAAAGGUGGUUCUUCAAAAAAAUUAAUAAAAUUGAUAAGCCUCUUGCUAGGCUAACUAAUUUUAAAAGGGAAGGCACAAAUUUCUAAUAUCAGAAGUGAGAGAAGAAAUAUCAUUAUACACCUCAUGUACAUUAAAAUGGUUAUAAUACUAUGUACAACUUAUGCCCACAAAUUUGAUAAUCUACAUGAAAUGAACGAAUUUUUUUGAAAGACAUAAUAUGCUACAACUCAUAAGACCAUCUGAAUAGGCCUAUAUUUAUGAAAUAAAUUUAAUCAAUAAUUAAUAACCUUCCUAAAGAGAAAGCACCAGGCCCAGAUAAGUUCACUGGUGAACUGUGCCAAACAUUUAAGGAAGAAAUCAUACCAAUUUGCUAUAAUGUCUUUCAGAAUAUAGAAGACAAAAGAAUGCUUCCUGCCUCAUUCUACUAAGCUAACAUUACCUUAAUACCAAAACUAUACAAAGAAAUUAAAAGAAAGGAGAACUACAGACUGAUAUCUUUCAUAAACACAGGUGCAAAAAUCCUCAAAAAAUUAGCAAAUCCAUGCCAACAAUUUAUAAUAAUUAUAUGCCACAGCCAAGUGGAAUUUAUCCCAGGUAUGCAAAGCUAGCUCAACAUUAAAAAAUAAAUUAAUGUAAUUCAUUACAUCAACAGGCUAAAGAGGAAAAAUCACAUGAUCAUAUUUAAUUGAUGCAGAAAUUACAUUUGGAAAAAAAAUCCAACACCUAAUCAUAACAAAAACUCUCAGCUAGCUAAGAAUAGAGAGGAACUUCCUUAACCUGACCAAAAAGUAUCUACAAAAAGCCUACAGCUAAUAUUAUACUUAAGGGUGAGAAACUAGAAACUUUCCCACUAAGGUCAAGAACAAGACAAGGCUGUUGCCUCUUAGCAGCCCUUUUAAAUUAGCUAAUGGUAGUAAAACCACAGGCUGCCAACUGAUUGGUACUAGGAUGCCUAGUACUAGGAUGCCUAGUACUAGGCAUCCUAGCUAAUGAGAUAAAAUAAGAAAAGAACAUAAAAGGUAUACGAAUUGGGAAAGAGGAAGUAAAAUUAUCUUUGUUCACAGAGGAAGUGAUAAUCUAUGUAGAAAAUCCAAAAGAAUAAAUUUUUUAAAAAUCCUGGAACUAAUAAUCAUAGCAAGAUAGCAAAAUAUAUGAUUAAUAUACAAAGUUUAGUCACCUUCCUAUAUACGAGCAAUGAACAAACAGAAUUUCAAAUUAAAAAUAUUAAUACUGGCCUGGCGCGGUGGCUCAUGCCUGUAAUCCCAGCACUCAAUCCCAGCACUUUGGGAGACCGAGGUGGGCAAAUCAGGAAGUUAGGAGAUCAAGACCAUCCUGGCCAACACGGUGAAACCCUGUCUCUACUAAACUACAAAAAAUUUGCCGGGCAUAAUGGUGCAUGCCUGUAGUCCUAGCUACUCAGAGACUGAAGCAGGAGAAUCGCUUGAUCCCAG
rnacentral:lncRNA from 10 species